GUAUAGUUUCUGCUCGGGUGGUAAAUUAACAGUCGUUCUGUUGGCGGGAGUUGCUGAAAGUUUGGCAGGAAGGAUGGAUCCACUGACGAAUUGGAUUAAAAUCCGUGUGCAUCAUCCGGAUCAGAUUCUUUCGAGAUUGAGGCUGAUCGUACGCAAGAUGCUUUCCCCCGGUGUGGGAUCUUAUAGGCCACCACCCCGGAACCCAAGGUCUUGAAUGCCAGGUUCGCACGGCGUCUUGAUUAAGUGUCCCGCCUGUGUUUUGUGUUGCGGUUAAGAUGUGUCCACAUAGCUUAACAAUACUUUAAAACGAGA